rnacentral:rRNA from 1 species
AAUACCGCAUACGAUCUACGGAUGAAAGCAGGGGAUCGCAAGACCUUGCGCGAAUGGAGCGGCCGAUGGCAGAUUAGGUAGUUGGUGGGGUAAAGGCUCACCAAGCCUUCGAUCUGUAGCUGGUCUGAGAGGACGACCAGCCACACUGGGACUGAGACACGGCCCANACUCCUACGNGAGGCAGCAGUGGGGAAUUUUGGACAAUGGGCGCAAGCCUGAUCCAGCCAUGCCGCGUGCAGGAUGAAGGCCUUCGGGUUGUAAACUGCUUUUGUACGGAACGAAACGGCUCUUUCUAAUAAAGAGGGCUAAUGACGGUACCGUAAGAAUAAGCACCGGCUAACUACGUGCCAGCAGCCGCGGUAAUACGUAGGGUGCAAGCGUUAAUCGGAAUUACUGGGCGUAAAGCGUGCGCAGGCGGUGAUGUAAGACAGUUGUGAAAUCCCCGGGCUCAACCUGGGAACUGCAUCUGUGACUGCAUCGCUGGAGUACGGCAGAGGGGGAUGGAAUUCCGCGUGUAGCAGUGAAAUGCGUAGAUAUGCGGAGGAACACCGAUGGCGAAGGCAAUCCCCUGGGCCUGUACUGACGCUCAUGCACGAAAGCGUGGGGAGCAAACAGGAUUAGAUACCCUGGUAGUCCACGCCCUAAACGAUGUCAACUGGUUGUUGGGAAUUCACUUUCUCAGUAACGAAGCUAACGCGUGAAGUUGACCGCCUGNGGANUACGGGCGCAAGGUUGAAACUCAAAGGAAUUGACGGG